rnacentral:lncRNA from 10 species
GCCCUCAGCCAGGCUGUCCCAAGCUGUGGCGCUCCUCACUGAAAACUGCUGUCACCUCUGAGAGGGGCAUGUUGGCUUAUGGCACAGACAUUAGUGGUGGGGGGGCCACCCUGUGCCCAACCUUUGAGAAAACAGGUGUCUGAGGUACUGUGUCCUUAGGGAGUCUGCAAUUAGGAGGAGGCAGAUUGCCCCUCAGCCCACAGACUGACAGAGAUGAUGGAGUGUGCAGCACACACGAUGAGGCUACUGUGUUGAGUGUCUGUCCUAGGUGGGUCAUGCUGAUGUGCAGCCACCAUUCCACACCUGAGUGUCCCACUGCCCUGCUGGGGGUUGGGGAAUGCUCAUUACCGGGAUGAGCACUUUUGCAAAAUGGGCUGAGGUGGGAGGAUCACUUAAGCCCAGGAAUUCAAGACCACCCUGGGAAACAAAGUGCGACCCCAUCUCUACAAAGUCAUACAAUUAGCCCAGCAUGGUGGCAUGAGCCUGUGAUCCAAACUACAUGGGAGGCUGAGGCAGAAGGUUUGUUUAGGCCCAGGAGGUCGAGGCUGCAAUAAUCUGAGUUUCCACCACUGCACUCACUCCAUGCUGGCUGCCUUUGGAUUGUUCCUAAUUGGAUGGUUUUGCUUUCAACAGACACUCCAAUAAAGUACACGAAAUAAAGAA